rnacentral:rRNA from 1 species
GACAAACGCUGGCGGCGUGCCUAACACAUGCAAGUCGAACGGAAAACAUUUAGCAAUAGAUGUUUUUAGUGGCGGACGGGUGAGUAACGCGUGAGGAACCUGCCUUUCAGAGGGGGAUAACGACUGGAAACGGUCGCUAAUACCGCAUAACAUAUUCCUGUGGCAUCAUGGGGAUAUCAAAGAUUUAUCGCUGAGAGAUGGCCUCGCGUCCGAUUAGAUAGUUGGUGAGGUAACGGCCCACCAAGUCUGCGAUCGGUAGCCGGACUGAGAGGUUGAACGGCCACAUUGGGACUGAGAUACGGCCCAGACUCCUACGGGAGGCAGCAGUGGGGAAUAUUGCGCAAUGGGGGAAACCCUGACGCAGCAACGCCGCGUGAAGGAUGAAGGUUUUCGGAUUGUAAACUUCUUUUCUGAGGGAAGAUAGUGACGGUACCUCAGGAAUAAGCCACGGCUAACUACGUG